AUUCUCCAUUGUGACCAACUCAUAUACUGCUGUGACUGCACGCUGAUAACAUUUGUUUGUUUUGGUAACCAAGUGCAAUGGAAUCCAGUGCGAGCAUCGAUUCGACCAUUAGAGGGCACCUGCGGGCUGGUUAGAACUUCCAUAGAAAGCUUUCAUACUCCUGGUUUCUUCAGAGCAGAGCACUUCACACAAAUUCUAAAUAUGACCACCACAAAAAGCGUAUGAUUUCCCUUUUGAUGCAAGAUUUACUGGUCAUUUACUGGUUUAAUUUAUUCAAAACACUAAGGGGGUUCCAUUAAAAUGCUAAAUAAUAUCCUAAUGAGACAUUAUCUGGCUUAUUUGUUCCUACAAUUGAAGUUGGAAACAUUACACACAGUUUUCCCUGCACUAAACAAGUCUGCUCUCUUUCCCCACAUUUGAAUACCCUGUAAUAUAUCUCCUUAUGUAAGAUAACACGUGAUUCUGGUAAGAAGCUUUCUCAUGGGUGAAUUGUAUGGGGUGCACUGGAGCAAUUUUAUAGAUUAAUACCCUUUAAAUGUAUAUCAUCUAUAUUUUGUUCUCUUUGAGGCUGAGUUCAAGCUCAUUGACUCUGAUCAGUGGGCUUGGGGAUUUUGGACCAUGAUCCACCAGAAUAUUUCAUUCAUUUGGCAGCACUGUAUUUAUGAGUGGCAGACAGGGAGGCACAGGAGUGUCCCCCCUAACUUGUGUGUCAUUUAUAAUUGCUAGUUAGCAGGUGCAUUCCAUAUAACAGACUUACGAUUUCUUUAGUAAUUCUGAUGUUUACACACCUUCAAAAGAUGCAGAAAAUAGAGAAUAACAAUAGAAUAACAACUGAAAAAUAAAACCCCUGAAAAUUCCCCUCUUACUGCUAGCACAUCUCCAUGACUGUGUGGUAAUUUCCUAAAAUGUUUUGCAACAUAUUUCCUGCUACCAGCACUUUUCUGUGUAUUAUGCCCAACUUCUGCUUGUGUGAGGGAACAAAAGCUGCUUUUCAGGUCUUUCCUGCAAUGUUGCUUUAGAGCUGUUCAUGAAAAAUAAACCGGGUCUGUGGUCACACAGUGUAUAAGAACUUU